rnacentral:misc_RNA from 1 species
GUAAUUUAUUGAAACUUCAAAACCUAGGUUUGUUACCGAAAAAAAGCUUAUAAAUUUCGGUAUUUCUCCUAGGCAUUUCCAACAGUCUUUCGUUCGAUUCGUUUUGAUAAAAUUAUCAAACAGAAUCUAACUUAGAUUUUCAAUAAACAGGGCUGUGCCUGAGUAUGUUUUCCUCGUUAUAACUUGUUGUUGAUAAGCGACAGCUUCACAAUGGGUUCGGAGCAGUCGUCCGUUCCUCAAAAGAAGCAAACCCUGAGGGCUCCGCCAGUUCGCAGAGGGCACACGAUUGCUGUUCCAAGCAUUACAGAUCCUGGGAGAGCUAGUGAGCUGCCCGCCAGUGGUAACAAUUCACCAGGCACGAGCAUAUGUUCCGACUCAGAGCUUCCAUACAUAUCUUAUACUGUGGACCGCCCUAUUGGAGACUCCCCGAAAGCUUCAGCUAAAGGCCAACGCAAUGAUAACAAGAAGUCGAUACUUCAGCGUCGGCAGUUGAGCUUACAGCCGCGACGAGCGCGACGGCCGCGAGACAUCGUCGUCGUCAAACAACCCGCAGACCAGAUGCUCGACGAAGAUAUACAGAGGCUACAGGAGAUACCGACGUUCCUGCCUAUAAUGCGAGGGACUCUCGGCCUGCCCGGAGCCCGGGACCCUGAGGUACUUGAGGGUCUGGACUACCGGCCGUGGGUGCGGGUGACGAGCCGCCUGCAGGCGCACCUCGCGGCCUGCGCACAUCCGCUCGCAGGCAUACAGAUAGGACUCGCUGCUAAAAUUAAAGAGGCUGAUGGAGAAGUGUCCCGCCUGUACGCUGCUAUGGUGGAGAAGCAGCGCGCUAACGCUCGUCACGCGGAACGCCUCGCGCGCGUUCACGAGCUGUCCCACCAGCUGUCUCGCUGCAACUCACUGCUACACCAGACUCUCAUCGACAUAGAAGAAUUAAACCUUUUGCUGCCUGAGGAAAAACGCUUGGAACCAUUUGUAUGGAACACCGAAUGAUACUCAUAGCAUAAUCUAUAUUAUUUAUUAUAAUAGAUAUUUAUAGCCUUACUACAAACACUUAAACAUCUGUUGAACACUUGUCUAAAAAAAAUGCCUGCAAAUCGGACCUUGUAUCAACGUCAUUUUUUAAACAACUGUUCAACAGACGUUUAAUAGUGUUUGUGGUACUAAGGUUAAUGUGUAAUUCGAUAUAAGAAUUGUAUGCUUACGCUUAAAUCCAAUGAAUUAAUUUCUGUAUAUUAAAUAGGCUUUAUAAGGCUUAGAUCUCAAAGUAGCUUUGUGUAAAAAAAACUAGAUUAAUUAUAAGUUUUUAUUAUUAUAAGUUACCUGUAUAGCAUAUGAUGUAUGAUUAAUUUGUUGUGUAAUAUAAUAAUGAAUAUAUUCA